rnacentral:rRNA from 1 species
CAAUAGCGUAUAUUAAAGUUGUUGCAGUUAAAAAGCUCGUAGUUGAACUUGUGCGUGCCCCUGAUGUCCUUUUUGGUACGUUUGGGGGUGUGCAUCCUUGGGUGGAAUCUGUGUGGCAUUAGGUUGUCGUGCAGGGGAUGCUCAUCGUUUACUGUGAAAAAAUUAGAGUGUUCAAAGCAGGCUUAUGCCGUUGAAUAUAUUAGCAUGGAAUAAUAAGAUAGGACCUCGGUACUAUUUUGUUGGUUUGCGCACUGAGGUAAUGAUUAACAGGGACAGUUGGGGGUAUUCGUAUUCCAUUGUCAGAGGUGAAAUUCUUGGAUUUCUGGAAGACGAACUACUGCGAAAGCAUUUACCAAGGAUGUUUUCAUUAA